rnacentral:rRNA from 1 species
CCUACGGGAGGCAGCAGUGGGGAAUAUUGGACAAUGGGCGAAAGCCUGAUCCAGCAAUGCCGCGUGAGUGAUGAAGGCCUUAGGGUUGUAAAGCUCUUUUACCAGGGAUGAUAAUGACAGUACCUGGAGAAUAAGCUCCGGCUAACUCCGUGCCAGCAGCCGCGGUAAUACGGAGGGAGCUAGCGUUGUUCGGAAUUACUGGGCGUAAAGCGUACGUAGGCGGUUAUUCAAGUCAGAGGUGAAAGCCUGGAGCUCAACUCCAGAACUGCCUUUGAAACUAGAUAGCUAGAAUCUUGGAGAGGUGAGUGGAAUUCCGAGUGUAGAGGUGAAAUUCGUAGAUAUUCGGAAGAACACCAGUGGCGAAGGCGACUCACUGGACAAGUAUUGACGCUGAGGUACGAAAGCGUGGGGAGCAAACAGGAUUAGAUACCCUGGUAGUCCACGCCGUAAACGAUGAUAACUAGCUGUUCGGGCUCUACGAGCUUGAGUGGCGCAGCUAACGCAUUAAGUAUCCGCCUGGGGAGUACGGUCGCAAGAUUAAAACGUCAAAGAGUAGUAGACCGNGUAGAGUGUCGACGAGACACGACGGGAGGUUAGAG